AUUGAACGCUGGCGGCACGCCUAACACAUGCAAGUCGAGCGGCAGCGAGACUAGUAGCAAUACUAGUUGUUGGCGAGCGGCGGACGGGUGAGUAACACGUAGGGAUCUGCCCUUAAGCGGGGGAUAACCAAGGGAAACUUUGGCUAAUACCGCAUAAUCUCGAGAGAGCAAAGCUGCCCGCAAGGGUGGCACUUGAGGAGGAGCCUGCGUCCGAUUAGCUAGUUGGUGGGGUAAUGGCCUACCAAGGCGAUGAUCGGUAACUGGUCUGGGAGGACGACCAGUCACACUGGGACUGAGACACGGCCCAGACUCCUACGGGAGGCAGCAGUGGGGAAUAUUGGACAAUGGGGGCAACCCUGAUCCAGCGAUGCCGCGUGAGUGAAGAAGGCCUUCGGGUCGUAAAGCUCUUUAGGUUGGGAAGAAGUGUAUUGGCUGAAUAAUCCAGUACAUUGACGGUACCGGCAGAAUAAGCACCGGCAAACCCUGUGCCAGCCGCCGCCGUAAUAC
rnacentral:rRNA from 1 species